rnacentral:rRNA from 1 species
ACUCCUACGGGAGGCAGCAGUAGGGAACCCUUCGCAAUGGGGGCAACCCUGAACGAGCAACGCCGCGUGAGUGAAGAAGGUUUCGGAUCGUAAAGCUCUGUUGUAAGUCAAGAACGAGUGUGAGAGUGGAAAGUUCACACUGUGACGGUAGCUUACCAGAAAGGGACGGCUAACUACGUGCCAGCAGCCGCGGUAAUAC